GAUGAACGCUGGCGGCGUGCCUAAUACAUGCAAGUCGAGCGAACAGACGAGGAGCUUGCUCCUCUGACGUUAGCGGCGGACGGGUGAGUAACACGUGGAUAACCUACCUAUAAGACUGGGAUAACUUCGGGAAACCGGAGCUAAUACCGGAUAAUAUAUUGAACCGCAUGGUUCAAUAGUGAAAGACGGUUUUGCUGUCACUUAUAGAUGGAUCCGCGCCGCAUUAGCUAGUUGGUAAGGUAACGGCUUACCAAGGCAACGAUGCGUAGCCGACCUGAGAGGGUGAUCGGCCACACUGGAACUGAGACACGAUCCAGACUCCUACGGGAGGCAGCAGUAGGGAAUCUUCCGCAAUGGACGAAAGCCUGACGGAGCAACGCCGCGUGAGUGAUGAAGGUCUUCGGAUCGUAAAACUCUGUUAUUAGGGAAGAACAAAUGUGUAAGUAACUAUGCACGUCUUGACGGUACCUAAUCAGAAAGCCACGGCUAACUACGUG
rnacentral:rRNA from 1 species